CCAAAGUUUGUGCAAUAAAGACCUUAUCCUCUACGUAAGGGCUCAUAUAUAUUUUACUUUUCGCAUGAUUUAACUGAAGUCCAGAAACCAUACCAAAGUCAUUCAUAAUAGUAGCCAGGUUCUUUACUGAAGUUGGAUCAUUUUGGAGAAAGAUAAGUAAAUCAUCUGCAAAUGUUAUAUGUGAUAUAUGAAUAGAGCCAGCAUUGGGUACCUUAAUGCUGCCAUUUAAGACUGCA
rnacentral:lncRNA from 1 species